rnacentral:rRNA from 1 species
CAGUAGCCGCGGUAAUACGAGGGGGGCAAGCGUUGUUCGGAAUUAUUGGGCGUAAAGGGCGCGUAGGCGGUUUGGCAAGUUUCGUGUGAAAUCUUCGGGCUCAACUCGAAGUCUGCACGGAAAACUGCCGGGCUUGAGUAUGGGAGAGGUGAGUGGAAUUUCCGGUGUAGCGGUGAAAUGCGUAGAUAUCGGAAGGAACACCUGUGGCGAAAGCGGCUCACUGGACCAUUACUGACGCUGAGGCGCGAAAGCUAGGGGAGCAAACAGGAUUAGAGACCCCGGUAGUCCCUGUCUCUUAUAC